GUGAGGAAUUUUCCGCAAUGGGCGAAAGCCUGACGGAGCAAUGCCGCGUGAAGGAUGAAGGCCUAUGGGUUGUAAACUUCUUUUCUCAGAAAAGAAUUAUGACGGUAUCUGAGGAAUAAGCAUCGGCUAACUCUGUGCCAGCAGCCGCGGUAAGACAGAGGAUGCAAGCGUUAUCCGGAAUGAUUGGGCGUAAAGCGUCUGUAGGUUGUUUAAAAAGUAUUCUGUCAAAGAUUAGGGCUUAACCCUAGAUAGGCAGAAUAAACUUUUAAGCUAGAGUUUGGUAGAGGCAGAGGGAAUUCCCGGUGGAGCGGUGAAAUGCGUAGAUAUCGGGAGGAACACCAAAGGCGAAGGCACUCUGCUGGGCCAAUACUAACACUGAGAGACGAAAGCGAGGAGAGCAAAUGGGAUUAGAAACCCGUGUAGUCC
rnacentral:rRNA from 1 species